rnacentral:rRNA from 1 species
GAUGAACGCUAGCGGCAGGCUUAAUACAUGCAAGUCGAGGGACAGCACAGGUAGCAAUACUGGGUGGUAACCGGCAAACGGGUGCGGAACACGUACACAACCUUCCUUUAAGUGGGGGAUAGCCCAGAGAAAUUUGGAUUAAUACCCCGUAAUAUAGUUGAAUGGCAUCAUUUGAUUAUUAUAGCUACGGCGCUUAAUGAUGGGUGUGCGGCUGAUUAGAUAGUUGGCGGGGUAACGGCCCACCUAGUCUACGAUCAGUAGCUGAUGUGAGAGCAUGACCAGCCAGACUGGAACUGAGGCCCGGGCCCGACGCCUACGCGAGGCAGCAGUAAGGAAUAUUGGUCAAUGGACGCAAGUCUGAACCAGCCAUGCCGCGUGAAGGAUUAAGGUCCUCUGGAUUGUAAACUUCUUUUAUUUGGGACGAAAAAGGGCCUUUCUAGGUCAACUGACGGUACCAGAUGAAUAAGCACCGGCUAACUCCGUGCCAGCCGCCGCCGUAACAC